rnacentral:rRNA from 1 species
UCCUACGGGGGGCAGCAGUAGGGAAUCUUCGGCAAUGGGCGAAAGCCUGACCGAGCAACGCCGCGUGAAUGAAGAAGGCCUUCAGGUUGUAAAAUUCUGUUAUAAGGGAAGAAAGGUGAUAGGAGGAAAUGACUAUCAAUUGACGGUACCUUAUGAGAAAGCCACGGCUAACUACGUGCCAGCAGCCGCGGUAAUACGUAGGGAGCAAGCGUUGUUCGGAAUGACUGGGCGUAAAGGGUGCGUAGGCGGUUGUACAAGUUAGAAGUGAAAUACC